UGGGGAAUAUUGGACAAUGGGCGAAAGCCUGAUCCAGCAAUACCGCGUGUGUGAAGAAGGCCUUCGGGUUGUAAAGCACUUUUAUGUGGGAAGAAGGAUUGAGUGUUAAUAGCACUUGAUUUUGACGGUACCACAGGAAUAAGCACCGGCUAACUCCGUGCCAGCAGCCGCGGUAAUACGGAGGGUGCGAGCGUUAAUCGGAAUUACUGGGCGUAAAGGGUACGUAGGCGGCUUGAUAAGUCAGAUGUGAAAUCCCCGGGCUUAACCUGGGAACUGCAUUUGAAACUGUCUGGCUAGAGUGAGUGAGAGGUUAGUGGAAUUCAAGGCGUAGCGGUGAAAUGCGUAGAGGUCUUGAGGAACAUCAGUGGCGAAGGCGACUAACUGGCACUACACUGACGCUGAGGUACGAAAGCGUGGGGAGCGAACAGG
rnacentral:rRNA from 1 species